ensembl:lncRNA
GAAGAGCGCAGGCAGGGCGCAGCGAUGUGAGAGAAGUACGUAGAGCAGCACUGCAGACGCGGAAAAUCGCGGUGGGCUUCUCCCUCACCGGCUGCGCCCGCGCACACACACACACACACACACACACACACACACACGCGGUCGAGUCCCUCACGUACGAUACGUCACUCGCGCAUGACCGCUUUAAGAAGUGGUACUUGGAGUAGUUGGUAGAUAGUUGAGGAGCACUUCUGCCCCGCAGCCACACCGUGACAUUUACUCGCCCUCCUCCUCCUCCUCCGCUCGCUGGAGCCGCGAUGAUGAGAAGCGCGAAGCAGCGCGCGACUGCCGCCGGUUUGCAACAGGCUGUCGGCGCCUCGCGCGCUCGUUCGACCCCCGCCGCGUUGCCACGCUGCGUCCUCGCGCUGCUCUGCCUGUGGUCCCCAGCGGGCGCGCGUGCGGAGCCGAGCUGUCGCGCGCACAAGGUUGGUGGAGGACCUGUCGUGUCAAUUCCUUGCGAACUAAACCAGACCCAGCAGCUGAACCUAGAACCCGGAGCGACUGCGCUUUCGGACGGAGAGAGUGCCUGGCUGGUGGUUCGGAACUUCAGCGGGGAACCCAAGUGCUCCUGGGCUCAGGGCGAAGGCAGAAGAUAUCAUAGCGUUGAAGAAGGGGGUGUGUACAAGCUUUUCGUUAAUGAAUCGGGAAUCUACCGCCUGGACUGCGCUUGGGGAAGUGAGAACUCUUCUUUGGUGUUCAGCAUCCACAUGCACCCCAAGAUGGGAAGACCAUCCACACCACAGCUGAAAAUUGUCUAUGCUGGACAAGGGUAUGGUUACAGCUUCGAAUGUUAUUCAAGAGGUCACCCGAAACCACAAAUCACGUGGUUUUCCUCUCUGACCAAUCCCAGGUAAACAGAUUGUUUUCAUGCGAUGUAAAUACCUGGCCUCAUCAGUGUAAAUUUCCAUCUGUUUCAGUGCUCAUGUGCAGUCAGUUGUUCACUAGAUUUCAGUAGCCAAGGGCUGUUCAGUUUGUGCUCCGGAGCCUCGUCCGCACUCUGCUCUUUGUUUAAACCAACCGUGUCUGAAAUCUAUAUUUCACGUUUUUAUCACAUUUACCGUUGUAGAUAUAUGCCGGAAAUGAUACGUAUUUCAUUUCUGUAUGUAACACAAUGUUUGUGUUCAAAAUAUUAAUGUUUUACAAAUGAAAACGGUACUUUGCUAUUUCGUAUAAUUCACAGCGGACGUUCUGCCAUCAUCUAGGCUGCUCGUCGCCUCACCGUAGCACCAAGCGUUUCAUCCGAAACUCAGGGUUACAAUGCAGCCAGUUGCACGGGGGAUUUUUCAUCCUGAUUAUUGCUACGUGUAAAUACUUAGUGCUGCUCAGAAAUGUAACGGUGGGCGAAUUACAGCUGGGAUUCCUUCGACCUCCAGAGAAGUGUCCUUAAUCAGUAGGUUUCGUGAAACGGAAGGCUCGAACCGAGAGCCUGAGAACGAAGGAGGAGCGAUCUGGCCGUGAUUGAUCGGGCUCAUGCUGAGCUCAGUAUCCUCUAGCGUCCGUGCUUCCCUCGGCGAUGUGGCCCAAGCUCACACCCUUUGCUCUCGCUGCCUUCGCCCGCUCGACCGAACUGAUACGUUAAUGACUCGUUCAGGAUUGGACGACAUGGGAGGAAGGAAAACACCUUGUCCACCUGGACAGAGAGCAGCGUGUCUGCCUUCGACUACUAUAACAGAGAUGUCCUGUGCUGCGCCGGGAACUCCCUGGGACAGGAGUGCUCCAAGCUCCAUGCAUACGGUACUGAAGCCGUGCAACUGCAGCUGCUCCUCUCUGCAACGUCGGCUGCUCUGCUUACAGUAUUGUCCUCUAGUGCCGAUGCCUAAUGUUUCAGGCACCGUUUGUACGAUUGUUUUUCCG